UGGGGAAUUUUGGACAAUGGGCGCAAGCCUGAUCCAGCAAUGCCGCGUGCAGGAUGAAGGCCUUCGGGUUGUAAACUGCUUUUGUACGGAACGAAACGGUCUUUUCUAAUACAGAAGGCUAAUGACAGUACCGUAAGAAUAAGCACCGGCUAACUACGUGCCAGCAGCCGCGGUAAUACGUAGGGUGCGAGCGUUAAUCGGAAUUACUGGGCGUAAAGCGUGCGCAGGCGGUUAUAUAAGACAGGUGUGAAAUCCCCGGGCUUAACCUGGGAAUUGCAUUUGUGACUGUAUAGCUGGAGUACGGCAGAGGGGGAUGGAAUUCCGCGUGUAGCAGUGAAAUGCGUAGAUAUGCGGAGGAACACCGAUGGCGAAGGCAAUCCCCUGGGCCUGUACUGACGCUCAUGCACGAAAGCGUGGGGAGCAAACA
rnacentral:rRNA from 1 species